GCUGGUCUCCUGGUGUUUGACGCUGGGCUUCUGGUGAUCUCUGCCUCCUUCUGCUCCGUCAAUGGUCCUGUGACAUGCAUGCCCACACAUAUGUAAGAGAGAGAAAGAGAUAGAGAAAAACAGAGAGUUUUUAAAGAGUGUUAAAAAAAGGUUUGCUCAGGACGGUCCGUACCCAUCCUUACCCCACCAUCUAUUUUUCCUCCUAGAUGAGGUCUCCGUAGACAUCUUCCAUUAUCAGGGCUGCUAAGUGGCCUGUUGUGCCAAUAGCUUUUGGUACAACAACAUUCAAUUACCUCUGCACUUGGAAACUACUCUGCUAGUUCACCACAUAGCUUAGCGCAGCAUUAUACAGACUUAAUACUUUGUGGAGCCAAUCACACCAUUGCUGGUGCCGGCAUCCCUUUUAAGAGUGGAGGCAGAGAUUUGGGGCAAUUAGAGCUUGGGUUGAGCAGGUGUGACAGGAGGGCCGCAAGCGUGCACACCACAUGCACACACCUCCCCAAUUAAGAGUGAAACCUUGACUGCUGAGUGUGAGCAGGUCAGGUGAUGGAAACCAGGGGUUUUGUUCUUCUUGUGGACAGGAUAAUUGUUAGUCUGUUGCUAGGCAGGUUUGAUGCUAGACUAGAACUGACCGCUUCCUGACGGUAUACUGUAGAAACAUAACAAUACACUGUAUGCCGUGCAUUGUGGGUUGCAAUAUUAUAGUAACCUUCAUAAGGGGGGUACUAAAGACAACAUAUACUGUGUGUCUCUAGUAGCUUUGUUCCUUAAUUGGCAUCUUUACACAGACUAUUGUUGAACUGAACUUACCCAAGUUGAGAAAAUUAAAGACUUUGUGCAUUGUGUAUUUCCGAUUGGAGGCAUGGUCUUCCAGGCGCAGGACCAAAAUCUGAUUUUUGCUGAAGACCGUCAGCCAGUCUAAUAUGUACACAAUGUACAGACCAACCUGCAACCUGACCUGUGGACACACAUCAGAGACAGAGUCUGAAAGACUUCUCCCAGUCCAAGCAAUUUCCUGUUCAGCAUAGAAAUACAACUGACAAAGGAACACAGGCGCGUUACAAAGUCUUCAGAGGGCUAAAUGGCCACUCAAACUGGAGGUUCAUCAGACAGCAUAUGAUUCUCCUCGGUUGUUGUUGUUGAUUCCUCUUUAAAUUCCUUGCUCAGCUGUCUGUUCUCAAGCCUUUAUCAAAUAUGUCACAAGCACAACAGCUCCCCACAAUGCAGCUCACAUGGUCUAAUAACUCAGAGAUAUAUCAGCCAAUGCACAAUUAGGCCCGGAGAAGAGAAUGUGCCAGCUCCUAAAGGGGAAAAUAAAAGCUUCUCAAGCCAGCAGAGAGGGAUGGUGGGU